GCCUCGGUGGUGUAGCGGUUAUCACGUUCGCCUUACACGCGAAAGGUUCUGGGUCAACUCCCAGUCGGGGUA
rnacentral:tRNA from 1 species